UCCAGAAAUCAUUAUACACGAAGAGGCUCGAACGUUGAAAAUAACUUGCCUGAGGACAGUUUUUAUGGAUCAUUAUCUGCCUGAAGAUGCCUUUUUUUUUUUUUUUUUUAGCAUCUCAUGUCUAAAAUUUAUGUACGCUGGCUUAUUCUAUGUCUAGGUGUAUGUGAAAUGUCCAUCACUAGAUUUGUUAUUUCGUUUAUCUCUGUGUUUUCCCCCUAAAACAUUGUUCUCUGCAAUUGGUUUCUGCAUGAAUGUGGAGCAAGGCUGGGCAAAUUUUUCAAAAAUUUGAGUGCCGAGAUCAAUCAAAUGGGGGUGUCAUCCGUAAUUUUGUUCGAUGGAGUAUUCCAACCUUGAUAGAGGAACAAUCUGCUUGUAUCUGCAAAAUUUGACAUUGUUUCCGUGUGUAAUGUCUACCUUCAGUUUGAAGAGGCUAUUUUUCCUGCCCUAUAUGAAACAUGAUAUCCAAAAUCGUUGAGCUGUAUCAGCUGCAACUGUUCCCACUUCCCUGCAAUUUACCUUUACUGUUUGGGAAGUAUUAUCAACAGAACUUGAUAGAUUAAAUGUGUCAUAUCUAUGCAUUUUUCCUUUGGUUUAGUAUCAUCCUAUUUGAGUUUUCAAUUUGAUUAAUUUAUUCAUUUAGUACAUGUAAAUUCACGUAAUUAAAUAUAUGCAAAUGAGGGGAGAAAAUAGAAUGAUAUUGAAAAUUUUUUAGGGUAAAUGAAAAUAAGAUAGAAAAAAAAGAAAUUGACUACUGGUUUUAUUCCAUUCUUUUUCUCAUUUUUGCAAAUUUUGAUCAAUUUAGCUCCAUCAUAGCUGGAAGUGAUUCUCAUCUCCGUCAGUCCUCUUCAGAUUUUCUUUUAUUUCUUUUAGAGCAUCAUUCAUUUGAGCCAAUACAUCUGUAGGAAUAAACAUCAUACAGUUAAUCAUUUUGCAUGAUAGAUGAACUUGUCUAUUUAUGCUCCAACUCCCAGCAAAAAAAGAUCAAAUUUUCGUUGUGAGGUUGCAGAUAAGGAAAAAUUUGUUGUGUUUAGAUCUGUAAUACCAUAUUUCUGUAGCCUUAAAAUUAGCUAAACAAAUGAUCUGUCUUUGAGUUUGGAUUGAUUUGGAGACAGACCUGUUAUCAGCAAGCAUUCUGAUCAAAUAGACAGGUGAAAACAAAUUUAUGGCUCUUGCCAGACUUAACCCCUCUUCAUUUCCAGAUCUCAGUAUAGAUUAUAGGCUGGGAACAAAGUAUUUGAGCUUCAUGUGUUAGCAGUGGGCCAAUAUUAAUGUCUAGUUAGUCAAGAAGAUGAUGGAGAUCUUAAGAUCGCUCUAGCAUCACCUAAGAUUGACAAAAAGAUAGUAUCUAUUUGUUUAUUAUAGCAAGAAAAAGGCAGAACAGUUCUUUCUUUUGGUGAGUGCUUAUUGUGAUAUUUUGGUAUUUCUUUACUUGCUAUGAGAAACUACAUGAAGUAUAAUUUUUGUGAAUUUAGCUAAAUCCUGAUAUUUGUUUUUGGCAGAUAACUAUUCAAAAUAUAAAUGUCAGUGAACAGCUGCAAGCUCUAAUAGCUCCAGCAAUACUGCCACGAUCAUUUUUAAGCCUACAGAUCUUGCAGUUUAUCCGUGCUUCAGAGCUCAGAUCCCUUUAAGUAACCCAGGAACGUAUGUGAUGUUUAUCAUAUUUAUGAUAUCAGUUAUGAACUUAUGAUGCUUCCUACAAAUAAGUGUGAGUGCUAAAUGUCUUUGCAUUAUAGACAAUCAGUGGGAGGACUAUAUUUAUAUUACCCUUCCUAUUUGGAUGAUAAUAUGCUUUUGGGCUGUGCUGUUGGUGGUGGAGUAUUCGUGUUUACUAGAGCUCAACCUCUUGAAAGAUAAGGGCUAAGUUAUUCAACUUAUCAUUUAGUGCUGGUCAGCAUUUCUACUCAAGAAAAGCAUUGGCUUUGGAGGAAAUAGAAAUAUGAGGACUACAACGAUGAGGGUUUUAUUGAGUACGACUUAUUAUACAUUUUUCUAAGACUGGUGGUUUUUACAACUGGCCACAUACUUUUAUACCCUCGCCACUUCCAGAAUGCAAGAAAAACAAAAGAAAUAUGGAGGCCUUGUUUCUGGGUUUACUCAUUAUUCCUUAAUUAAAACUAUGUUAUUUGAUGGCCUUGAAACUUGAAACUAAUAGUAGCUUAUGAGUGUUUAUACAGAAACCAAAUUACUAACAAAUAGAAACUGUCAUAGUCAAAGUGAAAUCAUAUUGUUCUUCAAAUUCGGUUCAAAUCCUACUUACUCCCAAGUAACUUACUGCUGACUUGACUUGUUGUGAAUAUAAUAAACAUAGUGUCAGUAGUGGAACCAGGUGAAAGUGUUGUUGCUUCAAUUAUAAUAAAGCAUGUUAACAGUUAUGAAAAAUGCUGUGUUCCUAACAUUAAUCUUAGAGAAUAGUCAAGUGUAGUGCUCUUAUGGACUCGGGUGCAAUAGAGGAUUGUGACUAUAAUGAGUUCUGUUCUUUAUAUCUUAAAGCAUUGGCGUGGCUGCAACAAUAGGUGUUUUAUGACAUGAGUAAUAAUUUAUAAUAGCUGUAUUGCAGAUAAAUCAUGUGCUGAGUCUACAAUGAUGAUAAUUGAUAGCGUUUGAGAAGUUCCUGCAACCAUUUUGGAGUGACAACUGAAGUAAAACCCUUUGGUACUACUAAAGGUCCAAAACUAUAUGAAGGGAACGUUUUGUAACUUAACAUUUAUUUUUAAUUCCCCUUCUUUCAAUAAACAUGGUAAACUAAUUAGAGUUUUUUUUUUUGUAGGUAAAUGGACUUAGUCCAACAUUUUCUAUUGCAUUGUAAAACAUACAUGAAGGGAACGUUUUGUAACUUAACAUUUAUUUUUAAUUCCCCUUCUUUCA